GAUGAACGCUGGCGGCGUGCUUAACACAUGCAAGUCGAACGAUGAAGCCCGGCUUGCUGGGUGGAUUAGUGGCGAACGGGUGAGUAACACGUGAGUAACCUGCCCUUAACUCUGGGAUAAGCCUGGGAAACUGGGUCUAAUACCGGAUAGGAGCGUCCACCGCAUGGUGGGUGUUGGAAAGAUUUAUCGGUUUUGGAUGGACUCGCGGCCUAUCAGCUUGUUGGUGAGGUAAUGGCUCACCAAGGCGACGACGGGUAGCCGGCCUGAGAGGGUGACCGGCCACACUGGGACUGAGACACGGCCCAGACUCCUACGGGAGGCAGCAGUGGGGAAUAUUGCACAAUGGGCGCAAGCCUGAUGCAGCGACGCCGCGUGAGGGAUGACGGCCUUCGGGUUGUAAACCUCUUUCAGUAGGGAAGAAGCGAAAGUGACGGUACCUGCAGAAGAAGCACCGGCUAACUACGUG
rnacentral:rRNA from 1 species